rnacentral:tRNA from 1 species
GUAGUGGCUCAGUGGUAGAGCGCUUGCCUAGCACGUAGGAAGCCCUGGGUUCCAUCCUCAGCACCACA